rnacentral:rRNA from 1 species
GCAAGCGUUAUCCGGUUUUAUUGGGUUUAAAGGGUGCGUAGGCGGCUUAUUAAGUCACUUGUGAAAUCCUAGUGCUUAACGCUAGAACUGCGAUUGAUACUAUUAGGCUUGAGUUAAGAAGAGGUAGGCAGAAUUUAUGGUGUAGUAGUGAAAUGCUUAGAUAUCAUAAGGAAUACCAAUAGCGUAGGCAGCUUACUGGUCUUUAACUGACGCUGAGGCACGAAAGCGUGGGGAGCAAACAGGAUUAGAUACCCUGGUAGUCCACGCCGUAAACGAUGAUCACUCGAUAUACAUAAUGCUUUAUGUGUGUCUAAGCGAAAGCGUU